ensembl:lncRNA
CUUCACCUCCCGGGCUCAUGGACCAAAUAGGCCCAAUUUUAACAGGUCACACAUUCACAUGGCAGCCGCACGAUAUCCGCAGGAAGCCGCUUCGAUGAACCCGUCCGGGGAGCGGGCAACUCGUCCCAAAGCUGGCUGAUGCAUCAAGACCCUGAAUGCUAAAGAAGGAGGCCUUAUUCCGGACGUCCCUUCCUUCAGACGUUGCCGACGCAUCGGCCAUCGGCCUCCGUCCAGAGCAGAACAUCACAGAUGAUGUCAUACUCCAUGGGGGAUUCGGGGCUGAGGUUUUGGUGGAG